rnacentral:rRNA from 1 species
UACGGAGGAUCCAAGCGUUAUCCGGAUUUAUUGGGUUUAAAGGGUGCGCAGGCGGAAGAUUAAGUCGGCGGUGAAAUUUUGCAGCUCAACUGUAAAAGUGCCUUCGAAACUGGUUUUCUUGAGUGUGGAUGAAGUAGGCGGAAUUUGUGGUGUAGCGGUGAAAUGCAUAGAUAUCACGAGGAACUCCGAUUGCGAAGGCAGCUUACUAAGCCAUAACUGACGCUCAUGCACGAAGGCGUGGGGAUCAAACAGGAUUAGAUACCCUGGUAGUCCACGCAGUAAACGAUGAUUACUAGCUGUUUGCGAUAUACAGUAAGCGGCUGAGCGAAAGCGUUAAGUAAUCCACCUGGGGAGUACGUUCGCAAGAAUGAA